rnacentral:rRNA from 1 species
CUCGGAGGGAUCAUUG